GCGAACGCUGGCGGCAGGCCUAACACAUGCAAGUCGAGCGCAUCCUUCGGGGUGAGCGGCGGACGGGUGAGUAACGCGUGGGAACGUGCCCUUCAGUUUGGAAUAACGCAGAGAAAUUUGCGCUAAUACCAAAUGUGCCCUACGGGGGAAAGAUUUAUCGCUGAAGGAGCGGCCCGCGUUAGAUUAGCUAGUUGGUGAGGUAAAGGCUCACCAAGGCUUCGAUCUAUAGCUGGUCUUAGAGGAUGAUCAGCCACACUGGGACUGAGACACGGCCCAGACUCCUACGGGAGGCAGCAGUGGGGAAUCUUGCGCAAUGGAGGAAACUCUGACGCAGCCAUGCCGCGUGAAUGAUGAAGGUCUUAGGAUUGUAAAAUUCUUUUAGCAGGGACGAUAAUGACGGUACCUGCAGAAAAAGCUCCGGCUAACUUCGU
rnacentral:rRNA from 1 species